ensembl:lncRNA
GCACAACGUCAAACCAGUGACUGAUAUCCAAGUGGUCACCUCUCUUGGGCCUUCAUCAUUUUUCCAUUUUCCCAGCGGCUGCCUCCUGCACGUUGUACUACAGUGGAGGACGGAGAUGCACGGGGCAUCCGAGCAGAUGUCUUGCUCAGCCAAGAUUUGUCCGGGUCGCCCACAGCUGGGUCCACGUUAGCCGUUAACAGGCUUCUCUAGAUGGUAGUUGACCAAGAGAGUUCAGUGUGCAAGUCUGGGAGCGGAAGGGCCCCAGGUUUGAGUGACACGGGGAAACCUGACCUCUUUGGCCUCAAUUUUGUCAUCUGUAAGAUGGGGAUUACAAAGUAAGGAGAUGGGGAACCUGCCUCAUGGGGUGAUGCGAAGGCAGCGUGAGAUCCUGCAGAGGAAGUGCUCAGCCCAGGAGGUCACGGAGAUGCAGGCAACUCGGUGGUGUCCAAAGAGCUGUGCAUACAAACCGCAUGUGAAACGGAGAAAAGGACCCUGCCAAGCAUCUGUGCAAAGUGCCUGAGCCAAGCGGGGUGAUCAGAGGCUUGUUCCUCCAGCGCCACCGCUAGAAAAGCAAGGGAUUCUCAAAGAAACAUGUAGGAAUAGCUCUUAACCUCAAAGGGAGAUGAGUGAAGGGAAUGAAUAAACAAAAUUCAGAGAGACAGAGAAUAUGAAAAACCAUUCAAUUCCAUUACUCAUCAAAGAGACCAUUUUCUCCUUUAAACCAGCAAUUUUUUUUUGUCUUUUUGUCCUUUUAGGGCUGUUCCCACGGCAUAUGGGGGUUCAACCCAGGCUAGGGAUCUAACCAGAGCUGUAGCCACCGGCCUACACCAGAGCCACAGCAACACUGGAUCCGAGCUGCGUCUGCAACCUACACCACAGCUCACGGCAACGCCGGAUCCUUAACCCAAUGAGCAAGGCCAGGGAUCGAACCCGCAACCUCAUGGUUCCUAGUCGGAUUCAUUUCCCACUGCGCCACGACGGGAACUCCUAAACCAGCAAAUGCUUUUAAAAUAAUACUCAGUGCUAGCAGAUAUGUGGGACGAUGGGCAAAGCACACACGGCUAGUCGAGUGCAAAUUCACACACUUUUCUGGAAAGCGGUUCAGAAAUGUGCAUCAAAAACCUCCAAAAUGAGCGGAGCCCAUCGACACAAUCACUCUCCUUUUAAUAAUUUAUUUUUAAAAUACAUAUUCCUAUAUUUAAUGUCAUUUUUGAUUGUCUGCUAUCUGCCAUUUGCCGUGCUAGAUGCUAAAUAUUCGCAGGUAAAUAAAAAAGACAUAUUUCCCACCCCUUGGAGGGUACAAUUUGAUGAGCAAACGGAUAAUAGACAAGUAAACAAACAAGAAAAUAAGUGAGUAUAAACCAUCGUUGCCACGAACGAAGGACGUUGUGUCAAGGGCUGUAUCAAGGGAAUGACUAACUGGAUGCUCAGGCAGGCUUUCUCUUGGAGGCUCAUAUUGAAGUUGAGGUCUGAGGGAUGAAGAGCCAGCCAUGAGAAAAGAGGGUGAGCAGGGCUCCAGGGAAAGGAAAUGGCAUGAGCCGGGAGUUCCCCUUGUGGCUCAGCAGAAAUGAACCCGACUGGUACCCAUGAGGACACAGGAUCGGUCCCUGGCCUCACCCAGUGGAUUCAGGAUCCGGCAUUGCCAUGAGCUCUGGUGUAGGUCGCAGACACAGCUUAGAUCCUGCGUUGCUGUGUCUUUGGUGUAGGCUGCCAGCUGCAGCUCCAAUUCGACCCCCAGCCUGGGAACCUCCACAUGGCAGGGGUUUGGCCCUAAAGAGCAAAGAAAGAAAAAGAAAACCGCCUAUGUGCAAAUGUCCUGAGCUUGGAAAGAUCUUACGGGACUCAAGGAACCAAAGCGAGGCCAGGAUGGCUGGAGCCUGGUGAUCAGAGGGUCGUGAGCAACACCUGGAACGGAGUGAGAGCCGGGAAGAGAUGCUUGAAUGUCAGUUGGAUUUGAUGCUGCAGACAACAGGGAGCGUCGGAAAGUUCCUGAGCAGAGGGGUAACAGAAUUAUAGAUGUAUUCAGGAAGCUCAGUCUAGGCAUUUUAUAAAAUCAAAGAGGCCAAAAGACCAUUCUGGAAGUCAGGAAGUUUUACUGGGGGGUCUUGGCCAUUGAUGACCAGAGGUCGAUGGGGCGGGGGCGGGGGGGGGGGGGGCAGGUGGAAGAGGCAUUUUUGAGGAAGAAUCA